rnacentral:misc_RNA from 1 species
GAAAUGCGAUAAGUAAUGUGAAUUGCAGAAUUCCGUGAAUCAUCGAAUCUUUGAACGCACAUUGCGCCCUCUGUUAUUCCGGGGGGCAUGCCUGUCCGAGCGUCAUUGCGAACCCCUCAAGCACGGCUUGUGUGAUGGGCCCUCCCGCGUCUUGGUCGUCAAGACGGGCCCGAAAUGCAGUGGCGGCUUCGCGGUUAUCCGAUCAGCCAGAGCGUAUGGGGACUUUCUCUCUGUCACACGCCCGCGGCGCGGACCGACGCCUGUCGACCUUCAUUCAUCGUUUUCUCGGUUGACCUCGGAUCAGGUAGGGAUACCCGCUGAACUUAAGC